rnacentral:rRNA from 1 species
UGGGGAAUUUUGGACAAUGGGCGCAAGCCUGAUCCAGCCAUGCCGCGUGCAGGAUGAAGGCCUUCGGGUUGUAAACUGCUUUUGUACGGAACGAAAAGACUCCUUCUAAUAAAGGGGGUCCAUGACGGUACCGUAAGAAUAAGCACCGGCUAACUACGUGCCAGCAGCCGCGGUAAUACGUAGGGUGCGAGCGUUAAUCGGAAUUACUGGGCGUAAAGCGUGCGCAGGCGGUUAUAUAAGACAGGUGUGCAAUCCCCGGGCUCAACCUGGGAACUGCAUUUGUGACUGUAUAGCUAGAGUACGGCAGAGGGGGAUGGAAUUCCGCGUGUAGCAGUGAAAUGCGUAGAUAUGCGGAGGAACACCGAUGGCGAAGGCAAUCCCCUGGGCCUGUACUGACGCUCAUGCACGAAAGCGUGGGGAGCAAACA